rnacentral:tRNA from 1 species
UCCUGGAUGGCUCAGACGGUAAAGAAUCUGCCUGCAAUGCAGGAGACCCAGGUUCGAUCCCUGGGUUGUGAA